rnacentral:rRNA from 1 species
CCCUUAGAUGUUCUGGGCCGCACACGCGCUACACUGAAGGAGGCAGCGUGUACUCCUGGAUCGAAAGAUUUGGGUAACCCGCGAAUCUCCUUCGUGCUAGGGAUUGAGGUUUGCAAUUAUCCUUCAUGAACGAGGAAUUCCCAGUAAGUGCAAGUCAUAAGCUUGCGCUGACUACGUCCCUGCCCUUUGUACACACCGCCCGUCGCUACUACCGAUUGAAUGAUUUAGUGAGGACUUCGGACUGGGACCGAUGCGGCUUUCGGGCUGCGUCGGUAUUCUGGAAAGAUGUCCAAACUGUAUCAUUUAGAGGAAGUAAAAGUCGUAANA